CCCCUAAGGCGAGGCCGAAAGGCGUAGUCGAUGGGAAACAGGUUAAUAUUCCUGUACUUGGUGUUACUGCGAAGGGGGGACGGAGAAGGCUAUGUUGGCCGGGCGACGGUUGUCCCGGUUUAAGCGUGUAGGCUGGUUUUCCAGGCAAAUCCGGAAAAUUAAGGCUGAGGCGUGAUGACGAGGCACUACGGUGCUGAAGCAACAAAUGCCCUGCUUCCAGGAAAAGCCUCUAAGCAUCAGGUAACAUCAAAUCGUACCCCAAACCGACACAGGUGGUCAGGUAGAGAAUACCAAGGCGCUUGAGAGAACUCGGGUGAAGGAACUAGGCAAAAUGGUGCCGUAACUUCGGGAGAAGGCACGCUGAUAUGUAGGUGAAGUCCCUCGCGGAUGGAGCUGAAAUCAGUCGAAGAUACCAGCUGGCUGCAACUGUUUAUUAAAAACACAGCACUGUGCAAACACGAAAGUGGACGUAUACGGUGUGACGCCUGCCCGGUGCCGGAAGGUUAAUUGAUGGGGUUAGCGGUAACGCGAAGCUCUUGAUCGAAGCCCCGGUAAACGGCGGCCGUAACUAUAACGGUCCUAAGGUAGCGAAAUUCCUUGUCGGGUAAGUUCCGACCUGCACGAAUGGCGUAAUGAUGGCCAGGCUGUCUCCACCCGAGACUCAGUGAAAUUGAACUCGCUGUGAAGAUGCAGUGUACCCGCGGCAAGACGGAAAGACCCCGUGAACCUUUACUAUAGCUUGACACUGAACAUUGAGCCUUGAUGUGUAGGAUAGGUGGGAGGCUUAGAAGUGUGGACGCCAGUCUGCAUGGAGCCGACCUUGAAAUACCACCCUUUAAUGUUUGAUGUUCUAACGUUGACCCGUAAUCCGGGUUGCGGACAGUGUCUGGUGGGUAGUUUGACUGGGGCGGUCUCCUCCUAAAGAGUAACGGAGGAGCACGAAGGUUGGCUAAUCCUGGUCGGACAUCAGGAGGUUAGUGCAAUGGCAUAAGCCAGCUUGACUGCGAGCGUGACGGCGCGAGCAGGUGCGAAAGCAGGUCAUAGUGAUCCGGUGGUUCUGAAUGGAAGGGCCAUCGCUCAACGGAUAAAAGGUACUCCGGGGAUAACAGGCUGAUACCGCCCAAGAGUUCAUAUCGACGGCGGUGUUUGGCACCUCGAUGUCGGCUCAUCACAUCCUGGGGCUGAAGUAGGUCCCAAGGGUAUGGCUGUUCGCCAUUUAAAGUGGUACGCGAGCUGGGUUUAGAACGUCGUGAGACAGUUCGGUCCCUAUCUGCCGUGGGCGCUGGAGAACUGAGGGGGGCUGCUCCUAGUACGAGAGGACCGGAGUGGACGCAUCACUGGUGUUCGGGUUGUCAUGCCAAUGGCACUGCCCGGUAGCUAAAUGCGGAAGAGAUAAGUGCUGAAAGCAUCUAAGCACGAAACUUGCCCCGAGAUGAGUUCUCCCUGACUCCUUGAGAGUCCUGAAGGAACGUUGAAGACGACGACGUUGAUAGGCCGGGUGUGUAAGCGCAGCGAUGCGUUGAGCUAACCGGUACUAAUGAACCGUGAGGCUUAACCUU
rnacentral:rRNA from 1 species